rnacentral:lncRNA from 1 species
GAUAGUUUAUACAAUACAAUUCAGUUCAAUCUAUACAGUUCAUAAGAUAAUACAGUCCAAUGUUUACACAAAUUAAAUUUUGUUCUAAUCAUCUAAAUCUUUAUUACUGCCAUUGUACAUCUAAUAUUUGACAUUAACCAAAAAAUCGACAACAAAUUGGCAUGAUCCAGAUUGCAUGUUUUCAAUUAACCAGUACACCUUGAUUCACUCCUUCAUACAUCAAUUGGAGUAGGAAAAAUACCUGCACGUGCAGUCUAGAAAAUUCAACAGCUUAGGAAAGAUAUAAAACCAAAUACAAACAGCCAAUUGACCUAAAACCAACUCAAUUGUAGCACCGAAUAAAUGACUCAAGAACAAACGCAAUUGCAACAAAAAAAAAACAAUCGAAAUCCAACCAGAAAAACCCCUAAAACUACGGCAACCAUAUGCUGAACUAAAAAUGUAACUCAAUAGCUAGGAGUUGAAAUUCAUUUCAAGUUCCAACGGAACAGUAGGCUUUUUUUAAAAAAAAAACUUUCUAUUCUUUUUUGAUUUUCUAUUGAAGAAGCUAAAAUCUAAGAGGAAUU